rnacentral:tRNA from 1 species
GGCCUCGUAGCUCAGUUAGCUAGAGCGUUGAAUGUACCAAAGUCUUCCCCUCGUGGGUUCAAAUCCCACCAAGGCCA